GGUAGUAACACAAACCAAUAUAUAAUGGCGGUCUUAGCCCAUUAGAGAAACUCGCUUCAUGAUCGAAAAUACCCGAUAAAUUUUACUUAAUUUAAAAACAUGUAUACCGCCGUUAGAAACUAUUAAACUAUAAAUUUUACAUUCUUAAUUAACCAACAAUUAGGUCAAGGUGCAGCCAAUAAUUAAGAAGAAGUAAGUUACAUUAAACACAAUUUAAGGACUUUCACUAAAGCUUAUCAGAAAAAGAAUUUAUAAGUACGAACAAAUUAAAAUCUUACUCCGAAAUACUAAGCAAAGACGC
rnacentral:rRNA from 1 species